GGGCCGGCUGGGCCGGGGCCGCGGACGAGAUGGCGGAAGGUGGAGGCUGCCGUGAGCGACCGGAUGCGGAGACUCAGAAGUCCGAGCUUGGAGCCUUAAUGAGGACCACACUCCAACGCGGGGCGCAGUGAUCCUGAGAGUCAGACCUUGAAAGAACACUUAAUUGAUGAAUUGGACUACGUAUUGGUCCCCACCGAGGCCUGGAAUAAACUACUAAACUGGUACGGCUGUGUAGAAGGCCAGCAACCCAUCGUCAGAAAAGUCGUGGAGCAUGGCCUGUUUGUCAAGCACUGCAAAGUCGAGGUGUAUUUGCUGGAACUGAAGCUCUGCGAGAACAGUGACCCCACCAAUGUGCUGAGUUGCCAUUUCAGCAAGGCAGACACCAUUGCAACCAUCGAGAAAGAGAUGCGGAAGCUGUUCAACAUCCCUGCGGAGCGUGAAACACGGCUCUGGAACAAAUACAUGAGCAACACCUACGAGCAGUUGAGCAAGCUAGACAACACUGUCCAGGAUGCUGGGCUAUACCAGGGUCAGGUGCUGGUAAUUGAGCCUCAAAAUGAAGAUGGCACAUGGCCCAGGCAGACCUUGCAGUCAAAGUAAG
rnacentral:sRNA from 1 species